GAGUUUGAUCCUGGCUCAGAUUGAACGCUGGCGGCAGGCCUAACACAUGCAAGUCGGGCGGUAGAGAGAAGCUUGCUUCUCUUGAGAGCGGCGGACGGGUGAGUAAUGCCUAGGAAUCUGCCUGGUAGUGGGGGAUAACGCUCGGAAACGGACGCUAAUACCGCAUACGUCCUACGGGAGAAAGCAGGGGACCUUCGGGCCUUGCGCUAUCAGAUGAGCCUAGGUCGGAUUAGCUAGUUGGUGAGGUAAUGGCUCACCAAGGCGACGAUCCGUAACUGGUCUGAGAGGAUGAUCAGUCACACUGGAACUGAGACACGGUCCAGACUCCUACGGGAGGCAGCAGUGGGGAAUAUUGGACAAUGGGCGAAAGCCUGAUCCAGCCAUGCCGCGUGUGUGAAGAAGGUCUUCGGAUUGUAAAGCACUUUAAGUUGGGAGGAAGGGCAGUAAAUUAAUACUUUGCUGUUUUGACGUUACGACAGAAUAAGCACGGCUAACUCUGUGCCAGCAGCCG
rnacentral:rRNA from 1 species